GCGGCCUGGAUCCCCUCCUUUUAAAGGAUUUGGUUGUACUGGGCCGGACUUGUUUCGGAAGUGCGUCAGCCGUUCCAAAGAACAUUGCCGCCGUCCUCAUGUCCCUUCAUCCUGGAGAUCAGCUCGCAAGAGUUGAGCGCCUGAGCGGCCUUUCCGCAGUCCGCGGUCCUUUGUUGGGCCGUUCGGCAAUGCGGUGGGGGCCGGUAGCUCAGGUGGUUAGAGCGCACGCCUGAUAAGCGUGAGGUCGUAGGUUCAACUCCUACUCGGCCCACCAUAGCGCUUUAAUGUCUCACCUUACGGGGCCUUAGCUCAGUUGGGAGAGCGCUAGCUUUGCAAGCUUGAGGUCAUCGGUUCGAUCCCGAUAGGCUCCACCAGGUUCGUACGCAGCGGAUGCAAGGCAUUGGCGGGCGUGAACCUUGUGUCAACUUCUCCAGAGAUGAAGAUAACCGGUUUCGUCGGCACGCCGACGGAUGAGGGGCAUUUGGCCCCGUCUUUGACAUUGUGAAUGGGUUUAGAAAUCGAUGCCGUGGCGGCAUUGUUGCAUCUUAGGGUGCGGCAUGUCGUUCACAAUAAAACGAUUUUAUGCUGAGAAUAUUUUUAUCCGCAUUCAUGGCGACUGGGUUUUGCCGAGUGAACGUUCGGGGCUUGCUCCGGGCUCAUUCAGCCCUGUCGUUGGUGGUGUGGACUCUCAAGCGUGAGGUAAGGGCAUUUGGUGGAUGCCUUGGCAUGUACAGGCGAUGAAGGGCGUGGCACGCUGCGAUAAGCGUCGGUGAGGUGUGAGCAACCUUUGACCCGCAAGAGGG
rnacentral:misc_RNA from 1 species